AUUUUAUAUUUCAGAUUCUUCAAAGUAGCCAUCGUUUGCCUUGAUGAUAGCUUUGCACACUCUUGGCUCUUGGGGUGGCAGGUAGCCUAGUGGUUAGAGAGUAGCGGUGGCAGGUAGCCUAGUGGUUAGAGAGUAGAGGUGGCAGGUAGCCUAGUGGUUAGAGUGUAGAGGUGGCAGGUAGCCUAGUGGUUAGAGUGUAGAGGAGGCAGGUAGCCUAGUGGUUAGAGAGUAGAGGUGGCAGGUAGCCUAGUGGUUAGAGAGUAGAGGUGGCAGGUAGCCUAGUGGUUAGAGAGUAGAGGUGGCAGGUAGCGUAGUGGUUAGAGAGUAGAGGUGGCAGGUAGCCUAGUGGUUAGAGAGUAGAGGCGGUAGGUAGCCUAGUGGUUAGAGAGUAGAGGUGGCAGGUAGCCUAGUGGUUAGAGAGUAGAGGUGGCAGGUAGCCUAGUGGUUAGAGAGUAGAGGUGGCAGGUAGCCUAGUGGUUAGAGUGUAGAGGUGGCAGGUAGCCUAGUGGUUAGAGAGUAGAGGCGGCAGGUAGCCUAGUGGUUAGAGUGUAGAGGUGGCAGGUAGCCUAGUGGUUAGAGUGUAGAGGUGGCAGGUAGCCUAGUGGUUAGAGAGUAUAGGCGGCAGGUAGCCUAGUGGUUAGAGUGUAGAGGUGGCAGGUAGCCUAGUGGUUAGAGAGUUGGGCCAGUAACAGAAAGGUUGCUAGAUUGAAUCCCCAAGCUGACAAGGUAACAAUUUGUCGUUCUGCCUCUGGACAUGGCAGUUAACCCACUGUUCCUAGACCAUCAUUUGAAGUAAGAAUUUGUUCUUAACUGACUUGUCUGGUUAAAUGAAAUAAUUUUUUUUUUGUUAUCUCAACCAG
rnacentral:lncRNA from 1 species